rnacentral:rRNA from 1 species
AUGGGGUGCAGCAGGCGCGAAACCUCCGCAAUGCGGGCAACCGCGACGGGGGGACCCCCAGUGCCGUGGCAUAGCCACGGCUUUUCCGGAGUGUAAAAAGCUCCGGGAAUAAGGGCUGGGCAAGGCCGGUGGCAGCCGCCGCGGUAAUACCGGCGGCCCAAGUGGUGGCCGCUAUUAUUGGGCCUAAAGCGUCCGUAGCCGGGCCCGUAAGUCCCUGGCGAAAUCCCACGGCUCAACCGUGGGGCUUGCUGGGGAUACUGCGGACCUUGGGACCGGGAGAGGCCGGGGGUACCCCUGGGGUAGGGGUGAAAUCCUAUAAUCCCAGGGGGACCGCCAGUGGCGAAGGCGCCCGGCUGGAACGGGUCCGACGGUGAGGGACGAAGGCCAGGGGAGCGAACCGGAUUAGAUACCCGGGUAGUCCUGGCUGUAAAGGAUGCGGGCUAGGUGUCGGGCGAGCUUCGAGCUCGCCCGGUGCCGGAGGGAAGCCGUUAAGCCCGCCGCCUGGGGAGUACGGCCGCAAGGCUGAAACUUAAAGGAAUUGGCGGGGGAGCAC